UUAAAGGGUCUUUUAAGAUCCACUAAAACAUUCAGCAAAAUACAU
rfam:Taeniopygia guttata chromosome 6, whole genome shotgun sequence.